rnacentral:pre_miRNA from 1 species
CCCAAAAUCGCUUUUCAAAGAAUCUCAACCAUUGGAUUUGUGUGACCCCGGUGGGAUCCACUCAUUCAAUGGAUGGGAUUUUUCGGGAAGUGAUUUCGAGGA